rnacentral:lncRNA from 1 species
UUGAAUUACACAUGUUUCCAUGAUUAAAAUGAGACAUUGAAAACUAUAUACUUCAAUAAUUUGGGUUUUGCUAUGAGGAUCGAUCGCAACAUGGACUCCAUUGUUGGUGAAAAUGUCUGAAUGAAACCUAAUAGGAUCAUCAUAGCAGGAGGAGAUGAGAGUUACACUGAUGCAUGGCGUCCCGAACCAAUGAACCCAAUUGAGUAUUGAAAGGUAAUACGGAUCAUAUAUCACUACCAUUCGAUUUUCUAUACAAGCCUUUAUUGCUUCCUCCUACCAAAAAAAAAAAAAAAUUGCAGCAUCUGUUGAUUAUUGAUUCAAAAAGUGUCAUUUCAUAACAGCCUUUUCCCUAUAUAAUUGGCUGCCUAUGUCUGUGUGAAUAUAAUAUUUUAUCCACUCUGCAAAAGUUAGCAGAAAUAAUUAGUGUACUAUCAUGGUUAUUUUCUACUUGAAUACAUGUGCAUCACUACUCAUUCAAUUCCCAUCAAAUUAAUUAUCCAGA